GGCACCUAAAAGCGUUUUCUUGUCCGCUCAAUUUUAAUGCGCUAGAAAAUCGUUGAAAGUGUGCCAAAUAAAAGUCCACUUGCAAGUAACUUUAGCUUUUACCACACUUAAGUUUUAAAAUACUGGCUACACUU